rnacentral:rRNA from 1 species
CGGCAGCACGGGGGUAACCCUGGUGGCGAGUGGCGAACGGGUGAGUAAUACAUCGGAACGUGUCCUGUAGUGGGGGAUAGCCCGGCGAAAGCCGGAUUAAUACCGCAUACGCUCUACGGAGGAAAGGGGGGGAUCUUAGGACCUCUCGCUACAGGGGCGGCCGAUGGCAGAUUAGCUAGUUGGUGGGGUAAAGGCCUACCAAGGCGACGAUCUGUAGCUGGUCUGAGAGGACGACCAGCCACACUGGGACUGAGACACGGCCCAGACUCCUACGGGAGGCAGCAGUGGGGAAUUUUGGACAAUGGGCGAAAGCCUGAUCCAGCAAUGCCGCGUGUGUGAAGAAGGCCUUCGGGUUGUAAAGCACUUUUGUCCGGAAAGAAAUCCCCUGGGAUAAUACCCCGGGGGGAUGACGGUACCGGAAGAAUAAGCACCGGCUAACUACGUGCCAGCAGCCGCGGUAAUACGUAGGGUGCAAGCGUUAAUCGGAAUUACUGGGCGUAAAGCGUGCGCAGGCGGUUCGCUAAGACAGAUGUGAAAUCCCCGGGCUUAACCUGGGAACUGCAUUUGUGACUGGCGGGCUAGAGUAUGGCAGAGGGGGGUAGAAUACCACGUGUAGCAGUGAAAUGCGUAGAGAUGUGGAGGAAUACCGAUGGCGAAGGCAGCCCCCUGGGCCAAUACUGACGCUCAUGCACGA